UCCCUGGUGGUCCAGUGGUUAGGACUCAGCGCUUUCACUGCCAGGGAUCCAAGUUCAAUUCCUGGUCAGGAAA
rnacentral:tRNA from 1 species